UCAGUGCGAAGUUCAGUCGAGGGUGUUAUAUGGACGUAUAAUUCAGUGACACCUUAUUUACUAAGCAAUUUGCAGGCAAUUGUGAAACAUGCCUUCACUUCAAUCUGGUAUCUUUCCACAUAAAAAAUACCAUUCGAUUGUUUUCGGAACAGCUUUUGGGGUCUUUGAUCAAAAUUGUCAAAAUGUCAAUUUUGAAUAUAGUUUACAUAAACUCUUACUUUUGGAAAAUUUUUAAUUUCUAAGUAUAUGAAAAUUAGGUAUCUUUAUCCUAAUCAACGUCUAUUCCAACUUAGUUGUACAUCAUAAUAUUUAUGUCACUAUCAUAUUAUGAAUGCAAGGUGUAACAAAAUCUCGAUAACACUCUUGUAAAAAAACAACAUAUUUAAUUAAAUCAUCCAAUAGAACUGAACACAAUAGAUAGAUAGAAAUAUCAUUGGCACAAAUUCAUCACCAAAAAUUAUAAAAGUAUUUUCAGUCA